CAGCCGCCACGGGUAAAACGAAGGGUGCAAGCGUUACUCGGAAUUACUGGGCGUAAAGCGUGCGUAGGUGGUGGUUUAAGUCCGUUGUGAAAGCCCUGGGCUCAACCUGGGAAUUGCAGUGGAUACUGGGUCACUAGAGUGUGGUAGAGGAUAGUGGAAUUUCCGGUGUAGCAGUGAAAUGCGUAGAGAUCGGAAGGAACAUCUGUGGCGAAGGCGACUAUCUGGGCCAACACUGACACUGAGGCACGAAAGCGUGGGGAGCAAACAGGAUUAGAUACCCGCGUAGUCCCUGUCUCUUAUU
rnacentral:rRNA from 1 species